rnacentral:sRNA from 1 species
GGGUCUCCUGGGGGCUGCGUCCUCCCAGGUUGGGCUGUGCCCCUGCCUCCAAGGCUGAACCCACCCCUGUCUUUCAGAGCAAGGUGAAAUACAUCAAGCAGACCAGCGCCAUCCUGCAGCAGCGCUACGGUGGGGACAUCCCAGCCUCCGUGGCCGAGCUGGUGGCGCUGCCGGGUGUUGGGCCCAAGAUGGCACACCUGGCUAUGGCUGUGGCCUGGGGCACUGUGUCGGGCAUUGCAGUGGACACACACGUGCACAGGAUCGCCAACCGGCUGAGGUGGACCAAGAAAGCGACCAAAUCCCCAGAGGAGACCCGUGCCGCCCUGGAGGAGUGGCUGCCCAGGGAGCUGUGGCACGAGAUCAAUGGACUCUUGGUGGGCUUCGGCCAGCAGACCUGUCUGCCUGUGCGCCCUCGCUGCCAGGCCUGCCUCAACCAAGCCCUCUGCCCAGCCGCCCAGGGUCUCUGAUGGCCGCGUGGCUCCGCCGAGGUGCCGCUGUGGCCAGCGUCUGUGAAGUGCCUUUACGUUUCAGGAAGCUACGCCUGUUAAAUAAAGCUUUGGUGUGUUU